rnacentral:rRNA from 1 species
UACGUAGGGUGCGAGCGUUGUCCGGAAUUAUUGGGCGUAAAGGGCUCGUAGGCGGUCUGUUGCGUCGGGAGUGAAAACUCAGGGCUUAACCCUGAGCCUGCUUUCGAUACGGGCAGACUGGAGGUAUGCAGGGGAGAACGGAAUUCCUGGUGUAGCGGUGAAAUGCGCAGAUAUCAGGAGGAACACCGGUGGCGAAGGCGGUUCUCUGGGCAUGUCCUGACGCUGAGGAGCAAAAGUGUGGGGAGCGAACAGG